rnacentral:rRNA from 1 species
GAAUUUUGGACAAUGGGGGCAACCCUGAUCCAGCCAUGCCGCGUGCGGGAAGAAGGCCUUCGGGUUGUAAACCGCUUUCGGCCGGAACGAAAUCGCCCGGGUGAAUAGCCCGGGUGGAUGACGGUACCGGAAGAAGACGCACCGGCUAACUACGUGCCAGCAGCCGCGGUAAUACGUAGGGUGCGAGCGUUAAUCGGAAUUACUGGGCGUAAAGCGUGCGCAGGCGGUCUCGUAAGACAGGUGUGAAAUCCCCGGGCUCAACCUGGGAACUGCGCUUGUGGCUGCGAGGCUGGAGUGCGGAAGAGGGAGGUGGAAUUCCACGUGUAGCAGUGAAAUGCGUAGAGAUGUGGAGGAACACCGAUGGCGAAGGCAGCCUCCUGGUCCAGCACUGACGCUCAUGCACGAAAGCGUGGGGAGCAAACAGG